rnacentral:lncRNA from 1 species
CAGCACCUCUCCAUGUUCAAAACACUAGAAAACUAAGGAUAGUAGGAAUAUACCUCAACAUUGUACAAGCUGUCUAUACUAAGCCUAAGGCCAACAUCAUUCUAAAUGGAGAAAAAUUGAAAGCAUCCCCUCUAAAAACUGGAAGAAGACAAGAAUGCCCUCUUAGGCCACUUCUAUUCAACAUCAUUCUUGAAACUCUAGCCAGAGCAAUUAGGAGGAAGAAAUUAAAGGGAUACGAAUAGGAAAAGAAUAAAUUCAAACUAUUACUAUUUGCCCACGAGAUGAUUCUAUAUUUAGAAUAUCAAACAAAUUCCACCAGAAAACUUCUAGAACUAAUAAAUGAAUUCAUAAAAGUAGCAGGAUGUAAAAUCAAUAUCCAUAAAUCAAAUGCAUUUUUAUAUAUAAGCGAUGAAGCCACUGCCAGAGAAAUUAGGAAAAAUACCCAUUCACAAUAACCUCAAAAAAAUAUUUGGGAAUCAAUCUAACAAAAGAGGUGAAAGACCUCUACAAUGAAAACUAAAGAAAGAAAUUGAAGAAGACCUUAGAAAAUGGAAUGAUCUCCCAUGCUCUUGGAUGGUCAGAGUUAAUAUUGUCAAAAUGGCCAUACUACCAAAACUGUUGUACAGAUUUAAUGCAAUUCCUAUUAAAAUCAUAAUGACUGGGCUAGGGUUAUGGCUCAGUGGUAAAGCGAUUGUCUAGAAUGCAUGAGGCACUGGGUUUGAUCCUGGCACCACAUAAAAAUAAAACAAAGUAUUGUGUUCAUCUACAACUAAAAAAAAUUAAAUUCCAAUGAUAUUCUUCAUGGAACUAGAAAAAGCAAUCAUGAAAUUCCUUUGAAAAAAUAAGAGACCCAGAAUAGCCAAAGCAAUCUUUAGCAAGAAAAAUGAAGCAGGAGACAUCACAAUACCAGAACUUAAAACUAUACUUCAGAGCCAUAAUAACAAAAAUAGCAUGGUAUUGGCACCAACACAGAUACAUUGACCAAUGGUACAGAAUAGAAGACCCAGAGAAAAACCCACAUAAAUACAGUUAUCUCAUACUAGACAAAGGUGCCAAAAACCUAUAUGGGAUAUGGGGUUAAAGGUACAUUCAUACAUUAUUGAUGGUACUGUAAAUUGGUGUAAUCACUAUGGAAAGCAGUAUGGAGAUUCCUCAGAAUACUUGGAAUGGAACCACCAUUUGACCCAGCUAUUCCAGUCCUCAGUUUAUACCCACAGGACUUAAAAUUAGCAUACUACAGUGAUGCAGCCACAUCAAUGUUUAUAGCAGCUCAAUUCACAAUAGCUAAACUGUGGAACCAACCUAGAUGCCUUUCAACAGACGAAUGGAUAAAGAAAAUGUGAUAUACACAAUGAAAUAUUACUCAGCCAUAAAGAAGAAUGAAAUUAAGGCAUUUACAGGUAAAUGGAUGGAACAUACUAAGUGAAAU